rnacentral:lncRNA from 1 species
AGAAUUCGUUUGUCUGUGAAAGAAAAAGUCAAAAGAGUGCUACAAGGAGUGGACGUGAGGGGACGUGAGAGUGAAGAGGGAAAAAGAAAAAAAAAACAAGUGACAAGACCCCUACUGUUCAUCUUCUCCAGGGGUUCUUUUUGCUGCUUUGCUGAUCCCUGCUACCCGGAUCGACGCCCACUACCGCGCCUCUACACCCGCGACCUGUUGCUGCCCAGUCCGACGCCGGAGCUCCGAAGCCUGCCGCUCCUGACCUCGCUGCACCACCGCGUUGCUCGCCUCAGCCCAGCACCCGGUGCCUUCGCCGCCUGUCUCCGCUCACCGGACUCCGUGCCUGCGCACCCGACGCCGCUCCUCCGAAGCCCGAGGCCUGCUCCGCUCCACCGCAGCUCCGCGGCAGCCGAGCUCUCACCGUUCACCACCGCGUUGCUCCCGAGCCUGAGCGACCUGCAACUCGCCUCCACUGCUCGCCCACGAUCCGCCUCCGCCCGCACCGGACCGCGAUCACCCUCGCCCGCCGCUGCAGAUUGUGACUCCAGCACCACUGGAGCCCGUGCACCGCCGCCACCGACAACCAACAGUCCCGGCGCUAUUCACCCC